rnacentral:tRNA from 1 species
GGAGAGGUGUCCGAGCUGGCCUAAGGAGCGCGACUGGAAAUCGCGUAGGCGGUUUGUAGCCGCCUCGUGGGUUCGAAUCCCACCCUCUCCG